rnacentral:lncRNA from 1 species
CACAGCUCCCAGGAUAGCCCUUCCGCAGGCUCGGGAGGAAGGGAACCCCCAGCACCUAGAAAGCCUUGCUCCUUUGAGUUUACAGAGCGCUUAGGAAGCAGUUAGCCCAAAGUCCAGGAUAACUUUCCUCCCAGCCCUUGGGGACGGGUGCUGGUAAACUCCCGUGCUUCGGAGGAGGGAGCUGUCAGGGCCCUAACGCUGGAGCAACAGCAGCCCCUGGUCCUGGGGACUCCAUGUUGGCUUCCUGGAGCACACGGCCCGAAACUGCCUCUGAACGCGAUCCCUGAAGACUUCCGUCUUCCCCGCGAGGGUGGAAGAGAUGGAAGCUAUCUCCUAAUUCUCCGUCUUUCACACGGAUGAAGAAACAGAUAGCUAGAGAGGAGCAGUGAUUUGUUCAAGCUCUUGCAACUAUGGAGUGGACAGGGUGUGCUCAGGCCUGGGGUGUGUCACCCUCUGCUCUGUGGAGCUUCUUAGGCCUUCCCUGGAAGAAACAGCAUGGUUCCUGGGGACCUCUGUGUGACAGUAACCCGGAGUUCUUGCUUUCCCCUGGGUAUUUCUUUGGUGUUCCAGCUUUGGUUUAAAAAUAUAAUGUUUUUUGCAUUUACCUUAUUUUAGAGUUGUUUGGAUAUUAAACUCCUUCUUUGAUCACUGUCACUUGACAUUGGCUCCAACAAGAUGCUCAGCAUUUAACCCCGCAGCCAUGCUGCUGGGGCCCCCGAGGCAGCACAUCCAGUGUGAGAAGCUCAGCUAAUACAUUCUCAGGUGCUCAAAUCCCACCACCUCGUCCACAUUAGGUCGGGAGAGGCCUGUCCUCGGAGGGGAAAGGGGUCGCCAGGUGCCAGGCUCCCAGGCAGAAGCCCACAGACAGCCAGAGUGGAGGAGAGGCUGGCAGAAGAGGUGCACUCUUCCCAUGAGCAGCCCUGCGCUGUCACCCUGGCCAGGAGGGGUCUGGGGAAGAGAGAGGAAGCCCGUCCAGGGCCCUCUCCCGCGCUUGAAAGGCUCAGGUGGCUUUCUGGUUCUCCAAAGAGGUGGCCCAGGGCCAGGCUUGACUUCCUGCCUCCCCAGGCCAUGCAGCAGGUCGGGGGCUUAUCCACAGCAAGGGCUCAGGCAGAGGGUACAGGACUGGAAGGAGCUGAACCCAACCGGAAGUGAGGGGCCUUUUUCCCUCUCUGCUCUCUCUGUGCCUCUGUGCUGCCCUGUCGGAUCUGACUCGUGCCUCUGCCUCUCCGAAGGCUGCUGUUUUCCAACAGUGCUGAUGGCGGUGGUGAGAUUGGCGGAGAUCCGAGGUUCCCGCGUAUCAAGGAAGAUUUCCUAAAGGAGGGAAGACAGAGCUGAGUAGGGGUUCGUGGAGGGGCCUUGAGGUCCGGAGAGCGACCCAUCUGGUCUGGGUACUGUGGGAUCUCGAGUUGGGCCAAGCAAGCUCCGUGCGGCCUGCGGCCGCCCAGGCUUCACCCCCGCAGCCCCUCCUGAGCGUGCCCGCGCUUCCCUCCCGGCGCCGAGCCCCAGAUGCGCGCGUUCGUGCCAGCAAACUUUCGG